GAGUUUGAUCCUGGCUCAGAACGAACGCUGGCGGCGUGCCUAACACAUGCAAGUCGAGCGCGAACGGCCCUUCGGGGCUCAGUAGAGCGGCGCACGGGUGAGUAACACGUGGCUAACCUACCCAGCAGUCUGGGAUAACUCGGGGAAACUCGGGCUAAUACCGGAUACGUCCCAUGGGGGAAAGUGGGGGCUCUCUUCGGAGACCUCACGCUGUUGGAUGGGGCCGCGGUCCAUCAGGUAGUUGGUGGGGUAAAGGCCUACCAAGCCGAAGACGGAUAGCUGGUCUGAGAGGAUGAUCAGCCACACUGGAACUGAGACACGGUCCAGACUCCUACGGGAGGCAGCAGUGGGGAAUCUUGCGCAAUGGGGGAAACCCUGACGCAGCAACGCCGUGUGUGCGAUGAAGGCCCUCGGGUCGUAAAGCACUGUUUACGGGAAAGAUGGAUGGCGAUGCGAAUAGCAUCGUCGUUUGACGGUACCCGUAGAGGAAGCACCGGCUAACUCUGUGCCAGCAGCCGCGGUAAGACAGAGGGUGCAAGCGUUGUUCGGAAUUAUUGGGCGUAAAGCGCGCGUAGGCGGCCAUUUAAGUCGGAUGUGAAAGCCCGGAGCUCAACUUCGGAAGUGCAUCCGAAACUGGAUGGCUUGAGUCCU
rnacentral:rRNA from 1 species